CGGCCGCGUUGCCAAGGUGACCCGGGCGCGGGAAGGCGGCUCCGGCGCGCGCGGGCCGGGCCGGGCGGCGGCGGCGGCAUCAUGAGCGGCCGGAAGCGCAGCUUCACCUUCGGGGCCUACGGCGGGUAGCGCGCGGCGCGGCGCGGGGCGGGGCGGGGCGCGUGCGCGCGUGUGCGUGUGCACGCGUGGGGGGAGCCCGUGCGGGGUGUGCUCGCGCUUGGGCGGGUGGGCCUGGGCUGUGACUGCUGUGAAGGCUGAGCGUUUGACCUCAGUGCGCGCAUGGCUGUCGUGUUGCAGAGCGCGUGUGUGUGUGUGUGUGUGUGUGUUUCUGUGUGUGUGUGUGUUCCCAUUGCGUGUCCAUGUGCAUGUGUGGGGAGGUGGGUGUAGGGUGGACAUUGCUAUGUUUGUGUCUAAGCACAUGAUAUUGGCGCUUAUGCAUGUGACUGGGGCUGCGGGGCUACUCCACCUGUGUGUGUGCGGGUGUGUGUGCAUGCGUGUGUGCGCAACUGCUCACAUGUAUAGGGUGGACAAGUCCUUCACCUCUCGCCGGAGUGUAUGGAGGAGUGAUGGGCAGAACCAGCACUUCCCUCAGGCGCUAGACCUGUCACGAGUGAACUUAGUUCCCUCCUAUACUCCUUCACUCUACCCUAAGAACACAGAUCUAUUUGAGAUGAUUGAGAAGAUGCAGGGAAGCAGGAUGGAUGAACAACGCUGCUCCUUCCCGCCGCCCCUCAAAACAGAGGAGGACUACAUUCCCUACCCGAGCGUGCACGAGGUCUUGGGGCGAGAAGGACCCUUUCCCCUCAUCCUGCUGCCCCAGUUUGGGGGCUACUGGAUUGAGGGCACCAACCACGAAAUCACCAGCAUCCCCGAGACAGAGCCACUGCAGUCGCCCACGACCAAGGUGAAGCUUGAGUGCAACCCCACAGCCCGCAUCUACCGGAAGCACUUUCUCGGCAAGGAGCAUUUCAAUUACUACUCACUGGACACUGCCCUCGGCCACCUUGUCUUCUCACUCAAGUACGAUGUCAUCGGGGACCAAGAGCACCUGCGGCUGCUGCUCAGGACCAAGUGCCGGACAUACCAUGAUGUCAUCCCCAUCUCCUGCCUCACCGAGUUCCCUAAUGUUGUCCAGAUGGCAAAGUUGGUGUGUGAAGACGUCAAUGUGGAUCGGUUCUAUCCUGUGCUCUACCCCAAGGUAUGGCUGGAUCUGGGCACAGCUCACUGAGGGUGGGUGAGUAACUGGAAGACUGAGCAUUUAUUAAGCACCUUCUGUGUGCCAGAUACUUUCCCCAGGUUGUCUCAUUUAAUCCUCACAAUAACCCUGUGAAGUCCACA
rnacentral:sRNA from 1 species